rnacentral:misc_RNA from 1 species
GUCAAGGCAAGAGAGACGACUGCAGAUCGGAGGAGACGGAGUCGUACAAAGUGGCAUCAUAUACACCUGAAAAAGAAACAGCAUGCGUGAUGAGAAACGAGAAACGAGAGAAUUUUUUUGAAGCUGCUGACCUCAGCAAUGACGUCAACUCUGCAAAUCACGUGCUAAGGUCAGUCCCAGUGCCCACUGUGUUAUCUUGUGCACUGGAGUGCCUGACCAACUCUGACUGCAAGUCAAUACUCGUGAAAAAACAUCAUCAGAAGAAUGGCAGGAACGAGCCCUAUGAGUGUCACUUGGUAUCUGGAAGAACCUUUCAUGUAUUGACAGACACUUCAACAGCCAAUGACCUUCUGUACUUUGUCAGGAAGGAUGCAAUAUCAUGCUGAAAUUGUCGGCAAAAGUAUAGAAAAUAUCAGUGUAUUUAUACGAAUAGAUCAAUUCCCUACAACAGGAACUCUUCACUUUUGGUACAAUGUGUUGCUAUUUCAGUUAGACUAUGCAUGUCAUUCACCAGAGGAUAAUUUCUUUGUUUAACGGUUGUUCCUCUUGAUACAAGCAAAGAAUCUUAUCCUCAGAAGAAUGCACGUGGUCUGAAAUCAAAAAAAGAACGUUACUCCUAAGGUAAAAAUGGUUUUNCCAACUAUCAUAAUAAUAUAAAAUAACCAUUUAUGAUAUAAUUUUAAUGUUGCUUAGAACGGAUUGUAUUGCGCACGAUUCAAGCUGUAGUCCUGCCCUUGCGCAUGUGCGAUGUUCCUCAGGAGACCGAAAAUGACGCCUAUUAUAAUAUUAACCUAUUCUUCUUUAAUAAAAACGACCCUUUCCAGACUGUAAGGUGAAAAUGAGCGCCGUUUCAAUAUAAUGAAACAAAAAGUUUCACUGUCGUGAAAACUUGCGACUUAAUUAAUUAACAUAAUUCUGUUCCUCCAGACGUAUAAUAACAUAAAUAUCUACAUUAUAUACUGCAA